CUGUAUUAUAUACAAUAUAUAGCAUGUAUUAUUAAUUUCGUAAUCGAAACGAAUCGAACGACACCUCUUUGUUUCAUAAUUAAUACCUACACUUCAAAUUACACACCUCUUUGCAGUCGGAUCAGUGGCAGACUUACAACGAAGGAUUUGGGAGAUAAACAACCAAGGUCGUGUUUUUCUUUUGCAAUAAUAAAAGGAUUUAAGUAUGUAUACCUAGAUAAUAAACCAUGUUUAGUGGGUAUUAACUAAAUCUUUGAGUAUUUUCCGGUGGUUUGUCCGUUUUUUUUUUUCCUAUAGUGUUUAAAUUAAUUUGUGUUAAAACAAAUGUAUAUACAGAGCGAUCAAUCUAUCGUAAGACACUUAAUAUCUCGGAAAGUAAUAACUUUUUUCGGAAUUUU